ACCCUGUCGUUAUUUGAUCAAGUUGCGAUGCACAACUUACCUGCUGGACAGUAUUGUCAAACAUGUCACGAAGGCGCAGGUAGACUGGGCGAGGUUGUUGUAAACGGGAAAAAAAUCCGUCAAUGUAAAGGCUGCAAAGAGAAAACAUGCAAUUUGCAGGAUGGUGAGACAUUCAUGUUGAAGUUUAUUUUACCUCCGUUAACCUCUACGCCCGUUAAUUUGAUUUUCCCGUUGAUGCGAAAGUCAACUGGUGGUAAAGUCGAAUUAGGCAAUCUUCAGUUCCAGUAUUCUUUCAUUAGAAAUUGGUGUGGCAUUCCAAAUCGUUCCACACAUGUGCAGUGGAUUGUUGACAUUUAUGGGUCGAAUGCUAAUGGGUUGGCAUUGAACUCGGACAUGACUUGGCGUUUGGCAUAGUUUCUCGAAGACAAAACCAAUAAUAAAAAGUUUGAACCCAUGAGCCAUUUGCUUCCUCAGAUACGGGCAACCAAUAGAAUGAACUUGGACAGCGUAACAAUUGCUGUACCCACUAUGGCAACUUUUGGUGUGAAGACCAGCAAUUUGGAGCACUUUCUUGAUGAAGCGAGGCAGUUUGGCAUACCAAUGGUGGACAUUUACUUUGUCAUGUAUGGGAACGGCACUGAUACAAAAAGCGUUACAUUUGACCCCAUUUGUAAGUCGGGAACCAAAAUAUUGUUGGACAUUAA